ACGUACAGGGCAAUCAACGAUUUCGAGGGCAUUCUGAGAAUAAUCAUCCGAAUGCAGCAGCCCGGGCGGGUGAUUAUUCUCAGAGUUCCCAAGGGAGCGUGGAUCGACCGGCGUA
rnacentral:pre_miRNA from 1 species